UUGACAAAAAACUUUAGAAAAUGGCGGAGCUUCGAAGUCGUAGCGUCCUAUAGCUUUUUUCCAAAUAAAUGUAAGAUUUUUAUGUGUAAAUGAUAGAAAAGUGACGAUAAACAAUAUGGAGACUUCAGUGAAUAACGGCAUGUGCCGGUGUUGUGCUUCGGAGGGUGCGUUCAAAGACGUUAAAAGCACAUAUCAUUGGAUGGGCGAAGAAGAGAUAUAUUCCGACAUGUUGAGAGAUUGUUUCGACAUAAACUUAGAAGUAUCCGAGCAAGGCCAAGAUGGAGGCAUAUGCGAGGUUUGCAUCACGCAGCUGCGGAACGCCAUCAACUUCAAGAAGCAGGUGCUGCACACUGAAGAGCAGUUCAAGAUACAUCUGCAGAACAAGACUAUGUUUAGACCUAAUAUAGUGAAAGUUGAACUGCAAGCCGGGGAAGAUUCCGAUGACCUGGGUUCAGGGGACGACGCAUUCUCAGGCCCUGAAUUCGAAGUGCCAAUAAAAAUGGAGACUGAAGAGACGAAGCCCAAGAAACGAGGAGCCAAAGCCUCGGCCACGACCACCCGCGCCAAGAAGGCCAAAACCGACAACGGCGAGACCUCUAACAAACGUCGAAAUGAUGCAACAAAUCAUGCCAGCCAAAUACUGAAGGGGAUCAAAGAAGAACUUACUGCCAAAAUAGUUACAAACACUAAAUUACAACUAGCCAGAAAUAAUAAGAAACGUCUACCAGAGCCCGUUAACGAAUAUACCAAAAUGAAGAGGUUACGCGAAGAAGAAUUAAAAAAACACAGACAUAAUAUUAAAGAGAUUAUUCUCUGUAGUAAUGCUACACCUAUACGUAAAUAUGCUAUUGGCUACGUCUGUUGCUUUUGUACGAAAAAUUUUCCUGAAGCUGCAGACUUAAAAGAACAUACUAUCAAGGAACACGAUGAGAAUACGAAGUCUGAAUUUAUGAAGAAGGAACGCAUGCAGCAUUUCGUAGUAAAACUUGAUAUAACAGCUCUUAAAUGCACUCUAUGCGAAAAGGGCUUGCUGACUGUCGAAGAUCUUAUAACACAUCUAAAGAAUGAACACGACAAACCAAUGUUUACUGAUAUCAAAAGCCAUAUAAUCCCUUUCAAGUUUGAGGAUGCUAAACUUAAAUGCUCCUUCUGUCCUCAUACGUUUGAUAGAUUCAAAGUGCUGCAAGAACAUAUGUACACACAUUAUGACAACUUCGUUUGUAACGUAUGCGGUACUGGUUUCGUUAACGAAAGAAUGUUGUAUAAUCACAAACUAACCCAUAAAGUAGGACAUUUCAAAUGCUGUAAGUGUGACGAGAAAUUUGACACGAUACAAAAGAAGAGGUACCACGAAAAGGUAGUACAUUUACUAUGCUUGAACAAGUGUGGGUAUUGUGACGAGAAGUUCUUAUGGUAUCCCCAAAAAUGUGCCCAUAUGGCUGAGGUACAUGGUGUAGAACUUAAUAAGCCAAAAGAGUGCAAAGCAUGCAACAAAAUUUUCGAAUCGAAACGCAAACUUGAGUUGCAUAUAAGAAGAGACCAUUUACUAGAAAGGAGAUUUAAAUGUACAGAAUGCGAAAUGGAAUUUUUCACCAAAUCGUUGUUAUCUAACCACAUGGUGAAACAUAGUGGGGUUAAGAUGUUUCCUUGUAAAGUUUGUAGUAAGUCGUAUUCGCUAAUGAAAGGCCUGAGAGAACAUAUGAGGAUUCAUAAUAAUGAUAAACGGUUCAAAUGUGAGAUUUGUGAUCAGGCGUUCGUGCAAAAAUGCAGUUGGAGGGGUCAUAUGAGAUCGAAGCAUGGGACUAUAGUUUGAUAAGAAUUAUCUAUUAAAGCUGUCGUUACAAUGAAAUUUUACCAAUAUAAUGAAAUUUUACCAAUACAAUUAAAUUUUACUAAUAUUAUAAAGCUGAAGUUUCGUUAAACGCCAUAAUUUCAGGAACUACUGGCCCGAUAUGAAAAAUUUCUUCAGUGUUAGAUAGCCCGUUUAUCGAGGGCGGCUGCAAGCUAGUUUUUAUUACACGAAGUGGUUCGCUUAGGACACACCAGCGAAACCGCUGACGGAAUUUAUUUUGCUAUAAAGGCAUUCAAUAUUUGUAAUUAAUUUAAUUUUAAUUUUGACAAUUAAUAUUGCAAAUGUUAGUUAUGUGAAUAUAAUAUGUGUAAUAAUUAUAUACAAAUGUAUUCUUGUUUUUAUGAAUAAAUAUUUGACAACUGUCUGUUAGCUA
rnacentral:misc_RNA from 1 species